rnacentral:rRNA from 1 species
CUACGUGCCAGCAGCCGCGGUAAUACGUAGGUCCCGAGCGUUGUCCGGAUUUAUUGGGCGUAAAGCGAGCGCAGGCGGUUAGAUAAGUCUGAAGUUAAAGGCUGUGGCUCAACCAUAGUUCGCUUUGGAAACUGUCAAACUUGAGUGCAGAAGGGGAGAGUGGAAUUCCAUGUGUAGCGGUGAAAUGCGUAGAUAUAUGGAGGAACACCGGUGGCGAAAGCGGCUCUCUGGUCUGUAACUGACGCUGAGGCUCGAAAGCGUGGGGAGCGAACAGGAUUAGAUACCCUGGUAGUCCACGCCGUAAACGAUGAGUGCUAGGUGUUGGAUCCUUUCCGGGAUUCAGUGCCGCAGCUAACGCAUUAAGCACUCCGCCUGGGGAGUACGACCGCAAGGUUGAAACCCAAAGGAAUUGACGGGGGCCCGCACAAGCGGUGGAGCAUGUGGUUUAAUUCGAAGCAACGCGAAGAACCUUACCAGGUCUUGACAUCCCGAUGCUAUUUCUAGAGAUAGAAAGUU